AAGUGCUGGGAUUACAGGUGUGAGCCACCGCGCCCGGCCUCUUUGCUCUUUUAUGCCCUCAGAAACAGAGUUCUGGUUAAAAAAGGGGGCUCAAUAGACGGAAAAGAUGAAGGCUCAAAGAACUGACAACAAAAUAUUAACAUUUGGCUUCUGAAAUUCUUACACUCUCAUAAGCAGAAAAAACAAAUGCUAUGGUAAAAAAGUGGCUCACACAAAUCUGUCUUGGGGAAAAAAAAAAAAAAAUGAGAAAAACAGGCUUCGGAAUAAAUAGACCCAAAGGAGGAAGUAUUGAAAAUGGCAAGAUUCACUUUUGUAAACUUAUUUGGAACCACGGCAGAUGGCCAGGGCAGGGAUUUUGCAAGGCAGCUCCAGUUGAUCAAGACCAAGGGAAACAAAAUCCCAUUCUGCAAUCCCCUUACAUCCGUCUCUAAGCCCCAGGAUCUGGUUUGAUGAUCUCUUCCCAGG